ACAUACGACCAUAGCCACAAGAGAACUCGGGAUCCCGUCCGCUCUCCCAUAGAUAAGCUCGUGAGCGGUUGAUUAGUAGUUGGGUCGGUGACGACCAGCGAAUACCAGCUGUUGUAUGUU
rfam:Purpureocillium lilacinum isolate PLFJ-1 scaffold00002, whole genome shotgun sequence.